CCCCUCUCAAUGUCACACCCGGAGAGUUUCCAGCACUCUACCAGUCUCGACAUUCGGAGGGAGAGUCAAGCAGAGACGUAGCUAUUCCAUUCCUAGCUUGGGCAGUGGCUAGUGAGUGGAAGGCAAUCUGCUGCAAGU
rnacentral:snoRNA from 1 species